rnacentral:rRNA from 1 species
AGAGUUUGAUCCUGGCUCAGGACGAACGCUGGCGGCGUGCCUAACACAUGCAAGUCGAGCGGAGACAGUGAGUAGCUUGCUACGAGCUGUUUUAGCGGCGGACGGGUGAGUAACGCGUGAGCAACCUUUCCCAGACAGGGGAAUAACACACCGAAAGGUGUACUAAUACCGCAUAAGACCACGGGAUCACAUGGUUCUGGGGUAAAAGAAUUAUCGGUUUGGGGUGGGCUCGCGUCCGAUUAGGUAGUUGGUGAGGUAACGGCCCACCAAGCCGACGAUCGGUAGCCGACCUGAGAGGGUGAUCGGCCACAUUGGGACUGAGACACGGCCCAAACUCCUACGGGAGGCAGCAGUGGGGAAUAUUGCACAAUGGGGGAAACCCUGAUGCAGCAACGCCGCGUGAGUGAAGAAGUAUUUCGGUAUGUAAAGCUCUAUCAGCAGGAAAGAAAAUGACGGUACCUGACUAAGAAGCCCCGGCUAACUACGUGCCAGCAGCCGCGGUAAUACGUAGGGGGCAAGCGUUAUCCGGAUUUACUGGGUGUAAAGGGAGCGUAGACGGUUUUGCAAGUCUGAAGUGAAAGCCCGGGGCUUAACCCCGGGACUGCUUUGGAAACUGUAGAACUAGAGUGCAGGAGAGGUAAGUGGAAUUCCUAGUGUAGCGGUGAAAUGCGUAGAUAUUAGGAGGAACACCAGUGGCGAAGGCGGCUUACUGGACUGUAACUGACGUUGAGGCUCGAAAGCGUGGGGAGCAAACAGGAUUAGAUACCCUGGUAGUCCACGCC